UUUUAUUUAACGCAAAACUGGAGUGUCCACAUGUGGGGCCCCGCGGCCGGGCCGGACCCAGUGCGGACGGGCUAGCUCGACCUGGCCCCUUGGAAGGCGAGGCCGAGCUGCACUAGGAGAACGAGUGAGCCCCUCCCCUAUCCCCUCUCCCGGAGUUUGGAACUGUCAAGCCCCAGCUCCGACCCUGUGUCCAGGUUCAAGACCCCUGCGGGGCCCACGCCGCGGGCCCAGCCUCGCUCAGGGGCCGAGCCGUGCCUGCCUGGCCCAUGAGGAUCUGCACUAGCAGAACCUAGGACCCUGUCCAGCAUCACCUGUAGAGCAAGUAGCUCUGGAAAUCAUCUGCCUUCUUGAGCAGGAGGGGCGCGCCGCUCCGGCCCGCGCUGCGCGCCCGCGGGGCCCGUGCAAACGCGCGCUCCCGGAAUCUGGCAGUAUGCGUCCGAGAGAGAGACGACUUGGGCCGCCGCUGGCGCAGCCGUGUCCCGAGGGGGCGGCCAGAAGGCCAGCGCCUUCAACAGUCCGAGGCGGUUUCCUUGAGAGGACGGAUCUCUACCGCGCGUCCAAAGCCCAGGGGCCAGUUACCCGUAUAGACAGCGAGGACCUCCCCACCCCACUCGCUGACUCUCAAGCCCCAGAGUCUGUAUUUUUUAUUUAUUUAAACUAACAAAGUUGAGAAACUGCAUUAGAACUUGGUAGGCACUUGUGAUGUGAUGCAGUAGCUGUUCCUAACAGUAAUAAAAACCAUCACUUGGAAAAAUUUUCCCAUCCCAUGACUGCAUCUGAUGGCCUGGUCCCUUCUGUUUUUAUGAAGAGGAUCAUGAAGCCUGGAGACCCUACUUAUGGAACCAGAACAGACCCUUGCCCCCAGCAGUUGUAGGCUGGAUUCUUUAUAACAUGCAAAAUUGUCAGAUAUAUAGUUACGAAGCCAAAGACAUUAAUUAGACUCUGGUAAAGAACUCAGACAGGUGUCAGAUCCCACCCUGCAUGUCCCUGCUGUGCCAGUUGCUUAUCUGGAUAGUGAGCUUUUAAUGCACUUUGCCUAAUGGGGUUGUGGUGAGAAGCCAGUUACUGCUAGUCAUUUAACAAAUAUUUCAGCACCUACUGUGUGCCCACGCACUGUUCUGGGAAUGGGGAGAUGGCAGAAUAAGCCAAUAUUCCUGCCCUCCUGGAGCAGUUACAAUGAUAGCUAUGUGGGCAGCCCCAUUCACUACCUGUCUCUCUCCUCAAACAAUUCUGUCCUGACCCUAGACUCCAGGAGGCUGCUAUAGUUCUCCACCACCCCUUCAUGACUCGACUCAUAAAAUGGACUCAGUGGCUUUUCCUUUUCUUUUUUUUAAAAUUUUAUUUAAAAAACCUUCGGUGCAAUAUUAAAAAGCAAUACAGCCAGCUGGAGCGACAACAAACAGAAAGGGGAAGGGUAGGAAAAACCCAGGGACCCCAUCCCAGUUGCCCCCAGGGGCUGGAGGCCAAGGACAGAAUGGGGAAGGGCCUGGGUGGUGGGGGAGGGAGGAAAGGCCACCCACCAAAAUGAACAGGCAGAAUAAAACAUUUUAUAUAGGAAACAUCUGGCUGAACUGAAGAGGAUCUAGGGGAGAUGCGAAACCCCCAUUUUUUUUCUUCUAAAAAUGUCCUUGACUUGGGGAGAGGCUGGCCUCCUGGGGUGAAAUGAACAGGCCCUGCCCCACCCCACACUCCUCUAUUAUGGAGUACAGGAUGUGCUGG